AGUGAACGCUGGCGGUAGGCCUAACACAUGCAAGUCGAACGGCAGCACAGUAAGAGCUUGCUCUUACGGGUGGCGAGUGGCGGACGGGUGAGGAAUACAUCGGAAUCUAUUUUUUCGUGGGGGAUAACGUAGGGAAACUUACGCUAAUACCGCAUACGACCUACGGGUGAAAGCAGGGGAUCUUCGGACCUUGCUCGAUUGAAUGAGCCGAUGUCGGAUUAGCUAGUUGGCGGGGUAAAGGCCCACCAAGGCGACGAUCCGUAGCUGGUCUGAGAGGAUGAUCAGCCACACUGGAACUGAGACACGGUCCAGACUCCUACGGGAGGCAGCAGUGGGGAAUAUUGGACAAAGGGCGCAAGCCUGAUCCAGCCAUACCGCGUGGGUGAAGAAGGCCUUCGGGUUGUAAAGCCCUUUUGUUGGGAAAGAAAAGCAGCAGGUUAAUACCCCGCUGUUCUGACGGUACCCAAAGAAUAAGCACCGGCUAACUUCGUG
rnacentral:rRNA from 1 species